rnacentral:rRNA from 1 species
CACGUGGGUAACCUGCCUGUAAGACAUGGGAUAACUCCGGGAAACCGGAGCUAAUACCGGAUAGUUCCUUGAACCGCAUGGUUCAAGGAUGAAAGACGGUUUCGGCUGUCACUUACAGAUGGACCCGCGGCGCAUUAGCUAGUUGGUGAGGUAACGGCUCACCAAGGCGACGAUGCGUAGCCGACCUGAGAGGGUGAUCGGCCACACUGGGACUGAGACACGGCCCAGACUCCUACGGGAGGCAGCAGUAGGGAAUCUUCCGCAAUGGACGAAAGUCUGACGGAGCAACGCCGCGUGAGUGAUGAAGGUUUUCGGAUCGUAAAGCUCUGUUGUUAGGGAAGAACAAGUGCAAGAGUAACUGCUUGCACCUUGACGGUACCUAACCAGAAAGCCACGGCUAACUACGUGCCAGCAGCCGCGGUAAUACGUAGGUGGCAAGCGUUGUCCGGAAUUAUUGGGCGUAAAGGGCUCGCAGGCGGUUUCUUAAGUCUGAUGUGAAAGCCCCCGGCUCAACCGGGGAGGGUCAUUGGAAACUGGGAAACUUGAGUGCAGAAGAGGAGAGUGGAAUUCCACGUGUAGCGGUGAAAUGCGUAGAGAUGUGGAGGAACACCAGUGGCGAAGGCGACUCUCUGGUCUGUAACUGACGCUGAGGAGCGAAAGCGUGGGGAGCGAACAGGAUUAGAUACCCUGGUAGUCCACGCCGUAACGAUGAGUGCUAAGUGUUAGGGGGUUUCCGCCCCUUAGUGCUGCAGCUAACGCAUUAAGCACUCCGCCUGGGGAGUACGGU